rnacentral:ribozyme from 2 species
ACAAAACUCCACCUGUAGUUCCUCCAGGGGCUACUGCCGGUCCCAAGCCCGGGUAAAGGAGGAGGGUUGA